UACGUAGGGGGCAAGCGUUGUCCGGAAUUAUUGGGCGUAAAGAGCGUGUAGGCGGUCCGGUAAAUCAGCUGUGAAAGUCAAGGGCCUCAACCCUUGAAAGCCGGUUGAUACUGUCGGGCUAGAGUCCGGAAGAGGCGAGUGGAAUUCCCGGUGUAGCGGUGAAAUGCGCAGAUAUCGGGAGGAACACCAAUGGCGAAGGCAGCUCGCUGGGACGGUACUGACGCUGAGACGCGAAAGCGUGGGGAGCAAACAGG
rnacentral:rRNA from 1 species